rnacentral:hammerhead_ribozyme from 1 species
AUUCAACUGACGAGUCCCAAAUAGAACGAAACGCGUGUCCUGAAA